rnacentral:rRNA from 1 species
GUAGGUGGCAAGCGUUGUCCGGAAUUAUUGGGCGUAAAGCGCGCGCAGGGCGGUCCUUUAAGUCUGAUGUGAAAGCCCACGGCUCAACCGUGGAGGGUCAUUGGAAACUGGGGGACUUGAGUACAGAAGAGGAAAGCGGAAUUCCAAGUGUAGCGGUGAAAUGCGUAGAGAUUUGGAGGAACACCAGUGGCGAAGGCGGCUUUCUGGUCUGUAACUGACGCUGAGGCGCGAAAGCGUGGGGAGCAAACAGGAUUAGAUACCCUGGUAGUCCACGCCGUAAACGAUGAGUGCUAAGUGUUAGGGGGUUUCCGCCCCUUAGUGCUGCAGCUAACGCACUAAGCACUCCGCCUGGGGAGUACGGCCGCAAGGCUG